UACGUAGGGGGCAAGCGUUGUCCGGAUUUAUUGGGCGUAAAGAGCGUGUAGGCGGCCAUGUAGGUCCGUUUGUGAAAACUCGAGGCUCAACCUCGAGACGCCGAUGGAAACCAUGUGGCUAGAGUCCGGAAGAGGAGAGUGGAAUUCCUGGUGUAGCGGUGAAAUGCGCAGAUAUCAGGAAGAACACCCGUGGCGAAGGCGGGUCUCUGGGCAUUAACUGACGCUGAGGAGCGAAAAGCAUGGGGGAGCGAACAGG
rnacentral:rRNA from 1 species